UGAAUACGAGAUGCUACGGCGUCGAAGCAGUCUAUGUCAUACUUCCAAGAAAAGCUUGCACUGUCAUAAACAAAUAAUGCCUGUACCAUAACCGACACAGGUGGGUAGGUAGAGUAUACUAAGGGGCGCGAGAUAACUCUCUCUAAGGAACUCGGCAAAAUGACUCCGUAACUUCGGGAGAAGGAGUGCCUUAUUUAUAAGGUUGCAAUAACAAGAUCCAAGCAACUGUUUACCAAAAACACAGGUCUCCGCUAAGUCGUAAGACGAUGUAUGGGGGCUGACGCCUGCCCAGUGCCAGAAGGUUAAAGAAGUUGGUUAGCAUCCGCGAAGCUGAUAACUGAAGCCCUGGUGAACGGCGGCCGUAACAAUAACGGUCCUAAGGUAGCGAAAUUCCUUGUCGGGUAAGUUCCGACCCGCACGAAAGGCGUAAUGAUUUGGAUACUGUCUCGGAGAGGGGCUCGGUGAAAUAGACUUGUCUGUGAAGAUGCGGACUACCUGCACCAGGACAGAAAGACCCUAUGAAGCUUUACUGUAACCUGAAAUUGAAAUUGGACUUUACUUGCGCAGUAUAGGUGGGAGGCGUUGAGAAUAUUCUUGCGGGAUUAUUGGAGCCAUCAGUGAGAUACCACUCUUGUAAUGUUAGAUUUCUAACUUUGUAUCAUUAUCUGGUCAAAGAACAGUUUCAGGGCAGUUUGACUGGGGCGGUCGCCUCCUAAACGGUAACGGAGGCGCACAAAGGUUUCCUCUGAACGGGUAGAAAUCGUAUCUAGAGUGUAAAGGCAUAAGGAAGCUUGACUGUGAGACCUACAAGUCGAGCAGGGACGAAAGUCGGUCUUAGUGAUCUGACGGUGCUGAGUGGAAAGGCCGUCACUCAACGGAUAAAAGUUACUCUAGGAUAACAGGCUGAUCUCCCCCAAGAGUUCACAUCGACGGGGAGGUUUGGCACCUCGAUGUCGGCUCAUCGCAUCCUGGGGCGGUAGUACGUCCCAAGGGUUGGGCUGUUCGCCCAUGAAAGCGGUACGCGAGCUGGGUUCAGAACGUCGUGAGACGGUUCGGUCCAUAUCCGGUGUAGGCGUUAGAAUAUUGAGAGGAGCCUUCUUUAGUACGAGAGGACCGAGAAGGACAUACCUCUGGUGUACCAGUUAUCGUGCCAACGGUAAACGCUGGGUAGCUAUGUGUGGAGUGGAUAACCGCUGAAAGCAUCUAAGUGGGAAGCCCACCUCAAGAUAAGUAUUCCC
rnacentral:rRNA from 1 species